UAGGAAUAGUUCAGUUGCCAGAGCACGAGACUCUUAAUCUCAGGGCCAUGGGUUUGAGUGCCACAUUGGGAAAAA